rnacentral:rRNA from 1 species
ACGGCUCAGUAACACGUAACUAACCUACCCUUAAGAACAACCAAUCCCGGGAAACUGGGUUUAAUGUUGUGUAGAUAAGCUAUACUGGAAAUGUUUGUUUAUCAAGAGGACAGUACUAUUCCGUACAUGGUCGCUUAAGGAUGGGGUUGCGGCGCAUUAGGUCGUUGGCGGGGUAAAUGCCCACCAAGCCAGUGAUGCGUACGGGCCCUGAAAGGGGUAGCCCGGAGAAGGGAACUGAGACAAGGUCCCUAGCCCUACGGGGUGCAGCAGUCGCGGAACCUUUACACUGCACGAAAGUGUGAUAGGGGGAUUUCGAGUGCUUCCAUUGGAAGCUUUUGCCAAACCUAAAUCGUUUGGCGAAUAAAGGGGGGGUAAUAUACGUGCCAGCCGCCGCGGUAAUACGUAAUCCCUAAGUGGUUCCCACUUGUAUUGGGCCUAAAACGCCUGUAGCCUGUGAGUUAAGUCUUUGGUGAAAUCGGACAGCUCAACUGUUCGAAUGGCUAAAGAUACUGGCUUGCUUGAGGAAAUAAGACGUGAAGAGAAUUUUUGGGGUAACGGUGAAAUGUUAUGAUCCCAAAAGGACUACCAGUAGCGAAGGCGCUUCACGAGGAUUAUCCUGACGGUGAGAGACGAAAGCUGGGGGAGCGACCAGGAUUAGAUACCCUGUUAGUCCCAGCUGUAAACGAUGCUAACUAGGUGUUCCUCUUCCCACGUGGAAGCGGAGUGCCGAAGCGAAGGCGUUAAGUUAGCUGCCUGGGGAGUACGCCCGCAAGGGUGAAACUUAAAGGAAUUGGCGGGGGAG